rnacentral:rRNA from 1 species
GAAAGUCAAAGACUUGUAAAGAAUCAGAUACCGUUCUAAUCUAAAUUAUGAAUGAUGCUGAUUAAGAAUAUCAAUGGAUGAUAUUUCUUAGAAUCCAUCAAUGCCUUGUGAGAAAUCAAAAUUUGUGAAU